AAAUCUUGCAGUUUUGAAGAACUGCAGCACCAUUGCCAAAAAUGAAAUCUAUGGUGCCAUAAAUGUUGCAUUCUCGAUAGAAUUGACGGAGUGAAUGGGCGUAAAGCGUGUCUUGAUAUCCUUCCAUGCUGCACCUGAAAAAGGCCGAUUGGUCCGAAUCCACACGAAGGGCCACACCUUGAAAGUUUUUAGGCCCGGCAGUGUUGCGAAAUGUU
rnacentral:misc_RNA from 1 species